UGAUGACGAGACGCUAAGGCGUUGAAGCAGUGUAUGUCAGACUUCCAAGAAAAGCUUGCACUGUCAUAAACAAAGAAUGCCUGUACCAUAACCGACACAGGUGGGUAGGUAGAGUAUACUAAGGGGCGCGAGAUAACUCUCUCUAAGGAACUCGGCAAAAUGACUCCGUAACUUCGGGAGAAGGAGUGCCUUAUUUAUAAGGUUGCAAUAACAAGAUCCAAGCAACUGUUUAUCAAAAACACAGGUCUCCGCUAAGUCGUAAGACGAUGUAUGGGGGCUGACGCCUGCCCAGUGCCAGAAGGUUAAAGAAGUUGGUUAGUGUAUGCGAAGCUGAUGACUGAAGCCCUGGUGAACGGCGGCCGUAACUAUAACGGUCCUAAGGUAGCGAAAUUCCUUGUCGGGUAAGUUCCGACCCGCACGAAAGGCGUAAUGAUUUGGAUACUGUCUCGGAGAGAGGCUCGGUGAAAUAGACUUGUCUGUGAAGAUGCGGACUACCUGCACCAGGACAGAAAGACCCUAUGAAGCUUUACUGUAACUUGAAAUUGGAAUUGGACUUUGCUUGCGCAGUAUAGGUGGGAAGCGUUGAAAAUAUUCUUGCGGGAGUAUUGGAGCUAUCAGUGAGAUACCACUCUUGUAAUGUUAGAUUUCUAACUUUGAACCAUAAUCUGGUCAAAGAACAGUUUCAGGUGGGCAGUUUGACUGGGGCGGUCGCCUCCCAAAUGGUAACGGAGGCGUACAAAGGUUUCCUCUGAACGGAUAGAAAUCGUAUCUAGAGUGUAAAGGCAUAAGGAAGCUUGACUGUGAGACCUACAAGUCGAGCAGGGACGAAAGUCGGUCUUAGUGAUCUGACGGUACUGAGUGGAAAGGCCGUCACUCAACGGAUAAAAGUUACUCUAGGAUAACAGGCUGAUCUCCCCCAAGAGUUCACAUCGACGGGGAGGUUUGGCACCUCGAUGUCGGCUCAUCGCAUCCUGGGGCGGUAGUACGUCCCAAGGGUUGGGCUGUUCGCCCAUGAAAGCGGUACGCGAGCUGGGUUCAGAACGUCGUGAGACAGUUCGGUCCAUAUCCGGUGUAGGCGCUAGAAUAUUGAGAGGAGCCUUCUUUAGUACGAGAGGACCGAGAAGGACACACCGCUGGUGUACCAGUUAUCGUGCCAACGGUAAACGCUGGGUAGCUAUGUGUGGAGUGGAUAACCGCUGAAAGCAUCUAAGUGGGAAGCCCACCUCGAGAUGAGUA
rnacentral:rRNA from 1 species